GUGUCUGUAGUCUAGUUGGUUAAGUCAGAACCCUAGUAUGUGUCUUGGAAACUGAGGUUGUGGGUUCAAAUCCCACUGGACACA
rnacentral:tRNA from 1 species